CUGGUGGGAACGUAAAAUGGUGUAGCCGCUUUGGAAAACAAUAUGGAGGUUCCUCAAAAAAUUAAACAGAAACACCAUACGAUCCAGUUAUUCCACUACAGGGUAUUUACUCAAAGAAACAAAACACUACUUUGAAA